GAAUGCAAGUUCAUCCCAACUGAAUUGACAAGCCUGUAAGACUCUGCUUAUGUACUCGAACAUAGAGCCAUAUUCUUUUAUGGAAGUACUUGAAUUGAUCUUCGAAUCUGAAGGGGACUGAUGGUGAUCAGCCAAGCAGCCUUCUUCAAUACCAUUUUGUAAUGGUCGUAUUGAUCGUAGAGCAGGUUGGGAUUCAUUGUUUAAAGGGCUGUUGAUUUCUUCUAUGAACAACUGAUCAAGCACCGAUACUGGACUUGGCUGCGCUUCCUUGUCUUUGCUUGUGUCAAAUUCUCUAAAUAUCUGACUGUUUAAAGGACUUGAUGAAUAGUCAUCAAUUGAAUAUGUUGAUCUCUGAUUCUUCGCAGGUGAAUCCUCUUUUGAAAAAUCCAAAGAUUCACUUUUCUCACAGUCGUCAAUUGUCUCAGUGCUUAGCCUAAUACCAUUACUGUGCGAACCAUCUGGUUUGGAGGGCACUUCAGGAGGAUUAAUUUCUUCUGAAUCUCUAUAUUU
rnacentral:misc_RNA from 1 species